rnacentral:rRNA from 1 species
GUCCACGCCGUAAACGAUGAGCACUAGGUGUCGCGGGUAUUGACCCCUGCGGUGCCGACGCUAACGCAUUAAGUGCUCCGCCUGGGGACUACGGCCGCAAGGCUAAAACUCAAAGGAAUUGACGGGGCCCGCACAAGCGGUGGAGCAUGUGGUUCAAUUCGACGCAACGCGAAGAACCUUACCAAGGCUUGACAUAUACGAGAACGCUGCAGAAAUGUAGAACUCUUUGGACACUCGUAUACAGGUGGUGCAUGGUUGUCGU